rnacentral:lncRNA from 1 species
UCAUUUCUUUUUCUUUGAUCUGUUGUUGUCUUAGGCAAACUAGCAAAGUGAAAAUAGGGGCGUUAUUACUGGGAAUAAAUCACUCAUGAAUCAUUGCCAAUCCAAAUUAUAUCGCGCGUUCUCUUGAACAAGUAAGUUUUGAGACUGGUCUGGAUUUAUUUGCGGGUUCAAGUUGGUCCAUUUUAUCAUUAAUCCGUUGAUCUUAAUAGAAGAAAAAAGUGAGACAAGAAGGUCACAAACUUGGUGUAUAAGUUUGAAGGAUCUCAUCUAACUUGUCCAAGUUUGUAGAAUUGAGAUAAUGGGAGUUAACUUAAAUUAUUGUUGAUGUUUGAUUCUAAGCCAUUCUAGCAUACUAUGAAUUAAAUGAACUGAUUGCGAACCAAGUGUCACUUUGGACAUUCAAGUUGCCAGGUUUGAGUCAAGUAAAAUCGAUAGUUGUUUGAUGUUACUUAAACAGAAGAGAUGCAGAAUUGGUGUAUCUCUGGAAAAGUUUAUCAAUAUGCAAAGUACAUUUCCAUGAACGUUUUCGUGUGAUGGGUUAAUGAGUUGAGUUCUGGAUAUUAAUCAUUGAUUUGCUUUGAUAAUAAUUACCUCAAUGAAAUUGUUCACCACGUGUUUGAUGAAAUGCACAAACCAAAGUCAAAUGAAUUUGUCUCUGAUUUUGGAUCAUUUUGAUUGCAUACCAACAUGUUUUACUUGUAGAAAUUUCUCAUUAGUUGUUAAGCGUGAAUUCUGCCAUUUUCUUUUAUUAGUGAGUAUGAAUCCGAACAACUUUUCUUUGUAUUUGUUUGUGUUGUUUGUGUACUCCAGUAAAUGUGUGGUGGUUCUAGACAAGAUAAUGGCGUAGCAUUUGUGUGGUCUUCUCUGUCAUGUUUCAUCUUACUGUUCAUGUCCUGCACAUCUUCAUUAAACUAUGUUGUGAGUGGUGAAUUGAUAUAACUGUGGUGAUUCUGCGUGAUCAACGGUGGUUGCUGGUGGUCUAUAUGCAACUCUGGUGAUGUUGUGAAUGCCUAUAGAAGUUCAUUGUUAAACGUAAUAUACAAGGUCAAAAAAUUCGUGAGGUGCUCUGAAUGGACUAAGUUGAGGAAACUCGUCAAGGACAAUGAUGAAAGAGAGACCGGAGGAGAAGGAAAUUAUAAAUGAAGAAAUUCAGAAAAAGAAAAAUCGGAAAAUUGGCUAGAGAAAGAGGCAUUGGUUAGGUUAUUGCGUUUCAGUAUUAGAUUUAGUUUAGUUUCAUUAGACAGUACACACUUGAUUUAGGAUAAUUCAUGAGGUGCCGAGAACAUUCAAUGAACAAAAUGACGUGACUAGCCCCUCAUAAGGGCCUCUAGUUUUGGAGGCUAUUUUUCAAUUAUCUUCUUCUCUCAUCCAGAUCCGAUGGUAGCCACACCUCGGAUCAAUCUUUGAAAACACUGUUGAUUCAUGGAAUUCAUCAAGCAUAUCGUCGAGUUUAGGUAUGGGGUACCUAUACUUGAUCAUGAUGUCAUUGACAGCUCGACUGUCGACACAAACUGAAAGAACCAUCCUUCUUCAGCACGAGUAGGGCCGGAACUGAAUAAGGAAUCACGCUUUUCCUUAUGGAUUACAUCGAUAAGCAGCUUUGUUGGGUAUAAAAGCACUAAAAAGCAUAUCAGUCUAAUGCUCAAUUUCUUUUUUCGCAAGAUUUGAUUCGACUUUUUCCUUGGUCAAACUUUGGUUCUUCAAGCUUUCCCACCAAAGUGAGAUAUACUUCUUCAACUUGAGAAUAACAACUUUGCAUUGCUUUUCAUUCGAGUAUGAGUGGAAAUCAAAUACUCAUUCGAUAUUGUGUAGUCAGUAAACAAAAUCGUCGGGAUUGAGGUUAUCCUCAAAUUUCGUCACCUCCACUUUGACUUUGAGGUCAUUUUCCUCGCGCCUUCUUCUCCUCCUAACUCGGUGAUUCGAAUCACUAGAGUUGCCUCCAGUGUCAUUAAAGGUGACUAGUUCCCAGUCCGGUCCGAUUCCUAGUUAGAAUCGGGAAUCGGGAAUCGGAUUGGGAGGACCGAUUCCCAAUGUUUGGGAUUGGGGACCACAUUGAACGGUCCUAGGAUUGGGAAUCGGACAGGUUAGUUCGAUCCAGUCCGAUCCCAUUGAAUCGAUCAUUUAGCAACAAAAAAAAAAUUAAAAAAUGAAAAGAUACUAAUUUUUUUUUACUAUUUUUAGGGUUUAUUGCAAUUUAAAAAAAAAUAAAAUAUAAAUUUUUAAAGAAAAAGAAUCAAUCCAAUUCAUUGGUCCAGUAUCGUUAACCCCCCAGGGGAAUUGGGAAUUGAACCGACAUUCAUUAGUUCCAUUUUUAUGGAACCGAGAACUAGAUUGAUUCCUUUAGGAACCAGACCAAACUAGCCGAUCCGGUCCAAUCUGAGUGGUUCCCGGUUUGGGUAGUCCAAUAUGCUCACCUCUAAGUGUCAUUGGAUUCAUCGCUAGAGUUUUUAUGGGAACUUGGAUUGUCACGGUGUGGUCAAUUAAUAGGUCUUUCUCAUUGCACCUAUCUUGUUGGAAUCACCAAGAGGUUGAAGACUCGCUCCAUUUGUCUCUAAAGAUCCUCUAAUGCUUGGUCACACCUUUCAUUGUGUUUUUGCUUCAAAGUCAAACCUCUUGGAAAUUGAUUCACCAUUUUUAUUUUUGAAUGGAAGUAUGAGAAGGAUAUCAGAAAAACUUACUCAAAACAAGGUCAACCUUGAGUUUUGAUACAAAUUGAUACAUAUGCGUGAUGGGAAAUGUGUUUUGAGUGAUAAUGGAAUAUGUGAUAAACAAUGGCUACCAUUAAUGCAUAAAGGACACGCUGUUAGUCGAGAAUAAAGAUUGAGAUAAAUGAAGCUCACUACCAAGGAAGGAACACCACCAGCCAAAGAUAAAGAAUUUCAGGAUAAGAAAAGUUAACCACCAAGACCUAAAGGAAACCCAUUAGGCAAGGACAAAGGACUUCUUGGUACACCACCAAAGAAUUUGGAUAACGAAUUGGUAUAGAAAUUUGCUUACUUGAGGAAAAUUGCAAGUAUUCAUUACAUUCAAAUAUUGUUUGUCAUACAAAUGAGACUACACCUCCAUUUAUAGAAAGAUUCUGCUAAACAAGAGAAAGUGACCCUUGGAAUCCUAGAAAUCGAAAUGACUAUUGGAGUGUUCACAUAAUUAAAACUGACAUCAUAACAAAGACUUAUGACAAUUAGGACUAAAUGCAUUUAACAAGAACUAAAUGAAUUUAACUAUGACCAAAUGCAUUAGUGACUAUUAUUACUCUUUAAUUUCUUUCACCCGCCUUGGAAGCCGAAUACCAUCUUAGAAGAUCAGCAAUCAACAAUGGAAAUUUACCAGAAUAGCCGCAAGUUGCUAGGUAGUCAAUAAGACCUUAAAAUCAACAAAACAUGAGUUGAGCUUGAUAAUUGUUCCGUUGAGCUUGAUGCUCUUGUGUCAUCCUGCGUUCUUGGCAUGGAGAAAGAGGACUACAUCUAGAAUAGCCCACAUGACCCUCAUGACUAGGAGCUGUGGCACUUUCCUAAGUUGACUCAAGAGGCCGCAUGACAUACUCUUAAGGGAUGUGCGAGCUAUUUACCAAAUAUAGUCCCAUUUCUCCAUGCUUAGAACUUCACAGAAACUCGAGACCUCCAUCCAUCUGCGGUAAUCAACCUAUUGACUUGAGGGCCAACAUGCACAUCGAAGGUGCUAUGUCAAGAACUCACUGAAAGAAAGAAAACAAAGUUGAUCAGGAAACUAAGCCAAGUCUAGAAUGAAGCUAAAAACAGAUCGAAUUGAGACGAGAGUGAUGGUGAUCUUACAAUGAUGACCAGCGUGGGUGAGAUCUAUAAAGGUCUUGGGACUGCUGAAGGGAUGACUUGGCCCAUCGUCUGUUGUAUUUCUCGCCAGGAACCAUGCUUAACAGACCUCCGUCCAUCCGCAGUAAUUAACCUAUUGACUUGAAGGCCAGCAUGCACAUCCAAGGUGCUAUGUCAAGAACCUACUUGGAGAAAGACAGCGACCUAGAACCAAGUUUUCUAUAGAGUUAUUCUUGUGCAUUCUGGCAGGUGUUGCCAAGCAUAAAGGUAGACGGCUUUCUUCGGAAAAUGUUUUGCAUCAGCUUUGUGAAUCCCAGCCAUGACUUCUUAAGAUAACUAAAGAAUGGCUUACUUGAUACGGGUAUUAACUUCACCAACCAACCAAUUGGCCAAGAUGCUGCCGCCAGCAGAAUGCAAGCCGCCCAUUGCCACCAAUUUAGUCUCUCGGUAUCGGCAAACUUCUUCAGAAACUCCACCAUAAUCACUUGAAGCACAAUCGUAAUCCCAAUAAUUGCAAUAAAUAAGUGAUUCUUAUGAAUGCCUUUGAAUACAUUCUGCUUCUCUAAGCUCCUUGAGUUGAAUUCAUUAAAAACUUGGCAAAGCACGAAAAUAUUGAAAAUUAAAGUAUCAUUCACCCCUGCACUGACAUUGAAUAUGGACUCGCCCCUGAAUUGCAGGGUCAGGAGGACUGCUAUCUGGUAAAGUGCUUGGGCUAGGAGAUUCCUCCACAUCACAUUGGUUAUGAGUGGUUCUGUACGACCUACAGGUGAUUUCUCCAUCAAUUCAUCGCUUGGUCGCUCUGUAGCGAGGGCAAGAGCACCUAGUGUGUCCAUGAUGAGAUUUACCCAUAGUAAUUGCACUGCAGUUAAAGGAACCUCACCUGCUGAAACUGCUGCAAUGAAAUUAAUUACCAAAGCAGCAACAUUUACCGUUAGUUGAAACUGUAUGAAUUUCUGGAUAUUGUUGUAAACACAUCGCCCCCAUCUUAAUACCGUCACAAGGGAGGUGAAAUUGUCAUCCAAUAUGACAAUGUCGGAACUCUCUUUGGCAACCUCAGUUCCUUGAAUGCCCAUGGAAAGUCCAAUAUCUGCUUCUUUUAGUGCUGGUGCAUCAUUUGUACCAUCUCCGGUGACCGCGACCACAUGGCCCUUAUUUUUCAGGCACUGCACCAUCAGCAACUUGUCGAAAGGGGAAGACCUAGCCAUAACACGGAUUUGAUUGACUUUUUGCAUUCUCUCAUCGUCGGUGUAGUUUCGAAACUCUGAACCCUCCACCACCUCUAUGC